rnacentral:rRNA from 1 species
GAUGAACGCUAGCGGCAGGCCUAACACAUGCCAGUCGAGGGAGAAGCCCUUUCGGGGGCAGAAACCGGCGCACGGGUGCGUAACGCGUAUGCAACCUACCUUUCACAGGGGGAUAGCCCGAAGAAAUUUGGGUUAAUACCCCAUAAUAUUAUUGGAUGGCAUCAUUUGAUAAUUAAAACUGCGGUGGUGAAAGAUGGGCAUGCGUCCUAUUAGCUAGUUGGAGUGGUAACGGCACCCCAAGGCUACGAUAGGUAGGGGUCCUGAGAGGGAGAUCCCCCACACGGGUACUGAGACAGGGACCAGACUCCUACGGGAGGCAGCAGUGAGGAAUAUUGGUCAAUGGUGGGAAGACUGAACCAGCCAUGCCGCGUGCAGGAAGAAUGCCUUAUGGGUUGUAAACUGCUUUUAGAUGGGAAGAAUAAGGCGUACGUGUACGUUGAUGACGGUACCAUAUGAAUAAGCAUCGGCUAACUCCGUG